rnacentral:tRNA from 1 species
UUAAUUGAAGCCAAAAAGAGGCUUAUCACUGUUAAUGAUAAAAUUGAUAAAAUAUCCAAUUAAA